rnacentral:snRNA from 1 species
AUACAUACCUGGCAGGCAAGAUAUCAUGAUAACGAAGGUGGUUUUCCCAGGGCGAGGCUUAUCCAUUGCACUCCAGAUGUGCUGACCCGUGCGAUUUCCCCCAAUGUGGGAAACUUGACUGCAUAAUUUGUGGUAGCGGGGUAUUGCAUUCGCUCUUUCCCCUG